CCGGAUUUAGCUCAGUGGUAGAGUGCUUGCCUAGCAAGCACAAGACCCUGGGUUCGGUCCCCAGCUCCGGA
rnacentral:tRNA from 1 species